rnacentral:rRNA from 1 species
UCCAGUUGAUCCUGCUGGAGGCUGCGGCUAUCUGGUUUGCACUUAGGCAUGCAAGUUUCUUUGUUUCUCACGAAAUAGAGGGGCGAACUGCUCAGUAACACGUAGCUAACCUACCCUAUAGGCGAGGAUAACGUCGGGAAACUGACGCUAAAACUCGAUAGAAGAUUUUUUUCUGGAAUGAUUAAUCUUUAAAGUUUCGAUAGGAUGGGGCUGCGGCGGAUUAGCUUGUUGGCGGGGUAAUAGCCCACCAAGGCGAUGAUCCGUAAGGGCUCUUAGCGGAGGAGCCCUGAGAGGGAAUCUGAGACACUAUUCCCAGCCCUACGGGGUGCAGCAGCUAGGAAUUUUUUGCAAUGCACGCAAGUGUGACAAAGCGAGCCAGAGUGCUUUUCCGUAUUGGAAAAGCUUUUUGUGAGAUGUAAAAAGUCUCACGAAUAAGGACUGGGCAAGACUGGUGCCAGCCGCCGCGGUAAUACCAGCGGUCCAAGUCGCAGCCACUUUUAUUGGGUCUAAAACAUCCGUAGCUUGCUAUGUAAGUCUCUUGUGAAAUCUGACAUCUUAAGUGUUGGGCGUGCAAGAGAUACUGCAUGGCUAGAGACCGGAAGACGUGAAGAGUACAGAUAGGGUAGCGGUCAAACGCGCUGAUCCUUUCUGGACUAACAAUAGCGAAGGCACUUCACGAGAACGGAUCUGACAGUGAGGGAUGAAGGCUAGGGGCGCAAAACGGAUUAGAUACCCGUGUAGUCCUAGCAGUAAACACUGAACACUAAACAUUGGGACCUCCUCGAGAGGUUUCAGUGCUGAAGGGAAGCCGUAGAGUGUUCUACCUGGGAAGUAUAGUCGCAAGGCCGAAACUUAAAGGAAUAGGCGGGGGGAUACUACAACCAGAGACGCGUGCGGUUCAAUUAGAUUCUACACCGUGAACCUCACCAGGAUCGACAGCAGAAUGAAGGUCAGCCUAAAGGGCUUACCUGACACGCUGAGAGGAGAUGCAUGGCCAACUUCAGCCUGUGUUGUGAGAUGACCUGUUAAAUCAGGUAACAGGCGAGACCCGUAUGUAUAUUUACUUUGAACAAUAUACAGACUGCCUUGGUAACAAGGAGGAAGGCGCGGGCUACGUUAGGUGAGUACAUCCCGAAUACCCUGGGCUACACGCGCGCGGCAAUGCUGCAUUCAAAGGGCCGCGACACCGAAAGGUGAAGCUAAUCUCAUAAACUGCAGCCUAGUUCAGAUCGAGGAUUGCAACUCAUCCUCGUGACGCUGGAUUUGGUAGUAAUCGGUUUUUAUCAGAGACCGGUGAAUAAGUCAAUGUUCCUUGCACUCACCGCCCGUCAAACCAACCGAGUUUUGCUUUGGCAAGGCCCGUCAGGGACAAACCUUUGUGAGGCAAGGUAGGUUAAGUCGUCACAAGGUC